AUUGAACGCUGGCGGCAUGCUUUACACAUGCAAGUCGAACGGUAACAGGGAGCUUGCUCCGCUGACGAGUGGCGAACGGGUGAGUAAUGCAUCGGAACGUGCCGUGUAAUGGGGGAUAACGUAGCGAAAGUUACGCUAAUACCGCAUACGCCCUGAGGGGGAAAGUGGGGGACCGCAAGGCCUCACGUUAUACGAGCGGCCGAUGUCGGAUUAGCUAGUUGGUGGGGUAAAGGCCUACCAAGGCGACGAUCCGUAGCGGGUCUGAGAGGAUGAUCCGCCACACUGGGACUGAGACACGGCCCAGACUCCUACGGGAGGCAGCAGUGGGGAAUUUUGGACAAUGGGGGCAACCCUGAUCCAGCCAUGCCGCGUGAGUGAAGAAGGCCUCGGUUGUAAGCUCUUCAGUGGAAGAAUACGCAUCUUUAAUACUAGGUGUGGAUGAGGUACCGAUCAGAAGAAGACACCGGCUAACCUACGUAGCCACGCAGCCGCCGGUAAUCUGU
rnacentral:rRNA from 1 species